rnacentral:tRNA from 1 species
GCUGAGGUAGCGAAGCCCGGUCGAACGCGCCAGACUUGAGAUCUGGUGGGUCGCAAGGCCCUCGGGAGUUCGAAUCUCCCCCUCAGCG